AGCAGCCGCGGUAAUUCCAGCUCCAAUAGCGUAUAUUAAAGUUGUUGCAGUUAAAAAGCUCGUAGUUGAAUUUCGGGGUUAGUAGGUUGGUCAUGCCUCUGGUAUGUACUGGUCUCACUGAUUCCUCCUUCCUGAUGAGCCGUAAUGCCAUUAAUUUGGUGUUGCGGGGAAUUUGGACUGUUACUUUGAAAAAAUUAGAGUGUUUAAAGCAAGCUAACGCUUGAAUACAUUAGCAUGGAAUAAUGAAAUAGGACGUUCGAUCCUAUUUUGUUGGUCUAUUUUGUUGGUUUCUAGGAUUGACGUAAUGAUUAAUAGGGAUAGUUGGGGGCAUUAGUAUUCAAUUGUCAGAGGUGAAAUUCUUGGAUUUAUUGAAGACUAACUACUGCGAAAGCAUUUGCCAAGGAUGUUUUCAUUAAUCAAGAACGAAAGUUAGGGGAUCGAAGACGAUCAGAUACCGUCGUAGUCUUAACCAUAAACUAUGCCGACUAGGGAUCGGAUGAUGUUAAUUUUUUAAUGACUCAUUCGGCGCCUUACG
rnacentral:rRNA from 1 species